GACAGAGGGUGCAAACGUUGCUCGGAAUUACUGGGCGUAAAGCGCGUGUAGGUGGAUUGGUGUGUCAGAUGUGAAAGCCCUGGGCUCAACCCAGGAACUGCACCUGAAACUACCAGUCUUGAGUGGUGGAGAGGGAAGUGGAAUUCCUGGUGUAGCGGUGAAAUGCGCAGAUAUCAGGAGGAACACCGAUGGCGAAGGCAGGUCUCUGGGCAUUAACUGACGCUGAGGAGCGAAAGCAUGGGGAGCGAACAGG
rnacentral:rRNA from 1 species